ncrna:unclassified sequences skipping-rope RNA
UGCAUCAGAAGUAGAGAUUGUGCUGCUACACACCCUUUGGGCCAAAAGAGAUGCGGGAAGGGGCACACCCGCCUGAUGAA